rnacentral:piRNA from 1 species
UAAUUGUAAAUUAUGCGGUGGCAUGCCU